UUAACAUUUUUAGCUCACCUGGCCUAAAAGGCCAAGUGAGCUUUUCUCAUCACUUGGCGUCCGGCGUCCGGCGUCGUCCGUCGUCGUCCGGCGUCUGUCGUCCGUCGUCGUCGUUAACUUUUACAAAAAUCUUCUCCUCUGAAACUACUGGGCCAAAUUAAACCAAACUUGGCCACAAUCAUCAUUGGGGUAUCUAGUUUAAAAAAUGUGUCCGGUGACCCUGCCAACCAUCCAAGAUGGCCGCCAUGGCUAAAAAUAGAACAUAGGGGUAAAAUGUAGUUUUUGGCUUAUAACUCAAAAACCAAAGCAUUUAGAGCAAAUCUGACAUGGGGUAAAAUUGUUAAACAGGUGAAGAUCUAUCUGCCCUGAAAUUUUCAGAUGAAUCCGAUAACCCGUUGUUGGGUUGCUGCCCCUGAAUUAG
rnacentral:lncRNA from 1 species